rnacentral:misc_RNA from 1 species
UGUGUCACUGCAGCAGCUGUGCAGUGAGUUUGUCUUAAGUUUAUUAAUUUUCUGAACAAGUUUUUCAUAGUUUAAAUUUAGAAUUCCAUUUUUAGAGUAUUACUUCAUAUUUAGUGAAAGAGCCUACAGUUAAUGUUCACCUUAUAAUAGUGAAAGAGCCCACUUAUGUGUUACAUUAAGUAGCCUCCUUCCCACCACCAGAGUGACCUUGUGCACUUCCUAUGUGCAUACAGAGACCUUGUGUGGGUACAAGUACCACAUAAUCUUGCCACAUAAACAAUGGGCAGCCAUAUUUACUGACCAUGUGAUUUCAGAGACAAGUGUUUUCAUACUCAUUGCGAUUUAGUUCUUCAAGUUUCAUCACUUUAUUCACUCUUUGUGGACCUUGAAAGACCCCAUUUUGAUUGUUAUCUCAAUCUACUCAAUCUACUAUCAGCAAUCACCACCAUGUUGUCAAGUGGCUUCAUUGUGUUUAGUGUGUGGUUCCUGGAUUGAUUGCGAAUACCAGUCACUUGGGAGUCCUUUUCUCAUAAGUUUGAGAACUAGUAGUCCGAAACUCCUCUGGGCACAAGUGAGCCCUGAGGCAGCCACAAUAACAAUCAAAGGACAAUCAAAGUCACAACCAAAGUCCAGUCGUUCCAGAGCAUGCAGAGUGAAUAAACCCACGUCAUGUCGUUACCAAUCCAGUCGUCUUCUAGUCAUAAGUUUGACAAGUCAAAGAAGAGUAACGCCGGUCGAGCAGCAAGUCACGCUGGUCAUGUGUCGUCUUACAAGUCAAGCAAGAGUUCCAGUCGAGCCAGUCAUGCCGUGUCCGUUACAUCAUCAUAUGCACGGCAUCAGGAAGAAAAGCUGGAACUAGCGAAAACAGCGGCUGCUCUGCAGGUCCAGCUAGACUUUGCAGAGAAAGAAAAACAGCUGAAACUCCGGGAGUUGGAAGCGGCAAAGAAAGUGGAGGAAAUGAAGAUCGAGAGAGACAAAAAGUUAGAACAACUUGAAAUAGAGAGGAAAUUGGCCGAAACCCGAGCUGUGAUGCAGGUGUACUCAUCGCUGGAGCGGGAUGACAACAGUUCAAUAUCAUCAGAGCUGUCCGGCAUCCCCGCCGACAAACAUGAACAUAUGCAGAGAUUCCUCAACUCGCAUCAAAGUGAUCACCCCCCUCCACUGUGUCCAUCUGUGCCCCAAAGUGAAAGCGCAUAUGUGGACAAUGCGUCACUCCAACCAGUUGCCAUGGUUACAUCAGCCAAUCAGAACAGAUCUGAUGAACAGUCCAGUGUACAUCAUUCUCAUCACCAAAGUGAAGGAGGACGGAUGACGAUGUCGUCGGCACUUGAGAAGUGCAUUACACAGUUGGCCGAGUCCAGUAGACAACAGCAUGAUGUAAACAAACGCCUUGUUGCAUCUAGCCAGCUACCAAAGAUAGCCGUCCCCCAAUUCAACGGUGAUCCACUACAGUACCCCCUGUGGCGGAACUCCUUCAAUUCCCUUAUCGACAGCCAACCCCUUGACGCCGACACCAAGCUUAACUACCUCAAUCAAUAUGUGACGGGAAAACCAAAGCACCUAGUGGAGCACUACAUGCUCAUCGGCACUGAAGAGGCCUACACGCAAGCAAGAAAAGUAUUGAACGAGAGGUACGGAAACAGUAGUGUAGUGAGCACUGCUUUCAUAAGCAAACUCCGUCAGUGGCCGAGGUUAACGCCGAGGGAUGCAGCAGGCUUGAGAGAUUUCUCUGAUUUUCUGGGGAAAGUAGAGGCAGCACGAGCAACCACAGCAAGCCUUGGAGUGCUGGACUACGCCAGUGAGAAUGCUCGUCUAGUCGAGAAACUGCCAUUCAACCUUGAGACAAAGUGGCGAGACAAGAUUGACUAUUGGAGACAGAUCCGUGGUCAGGAUUCCUUCCCCCCAUUCAGCGAGUUUGUCAAACUCGUGAAGAUUGCAGCAGACAGGGCAAACAUUCCUGAAUUGCAGAGCGUGGUUCGAAGUCAGGACAAACAACGUUCAAAUGGAGGAAGUGCUCCGAAAAAGAACACCAGUGUUUUUGCGACUAGUACCAGUCGAGGUGAACCAACAAGCAGAGUGCAGUUGUCCAGUGACAAGAGUUGUCUCUUCUGCAAUAAGCGUCAUCUCCUGGACGAGUGUGAGCGCUUUCUGCGCAAGCCUUUCGCUGAGCGAAAGGAUUUCUUCUUCAAGAAGAGACUGUGCAUGGGCUGUGCACGUUCCAGUGAUCAUCAAGUGAGAGAGUGUAAUGACAAAAAAGUUUGUCGGAUCUGCGCUGGUGCCCAUUUGACCUGUCUCCAUCGCAACUUCCAACAGAGACGGCCAGAAGAAACUGCUUCAAGUAACCCCCAGUCAGCAGCGGCAAGUAAACAACCAGCUGACAAAGUCCCAACCAAUUCAUCCCCACCCAAAGAAGUCAUUGCUGUGCACCCCAAACGAGAUGAGGGAAUGUCCAACUGUAUUCAAGUGUGUUCCCAACCAGACCAAGAAGGAGAAGGUGACCACUCCAUGAUUAUACCAGUGUUGGUUCGUAGUGAGAGUGAUCCAGCGAGGGAGUUCCUCGAAUAUGCCAUCUUGGACGAACAAUCCAACAGUUGCUUCGUAUCAAAGAGUUUGUGUGAAAGGAUGAACCUGCAGGGACCAGAGACGCAGUUACUACUCAGUACAAUGCAAGAGCAAAAUGUGCAAAUCACCAGCAGUCGCAUAUCCGGGCUUGAAGUGCUUGAUGUCAAUAGAGAGCACACUGUUCAACUUCCAGUCUGCUUCAAGCGGGACAGCGUUCCAGCCAAGAAAUCCCAGAUACCGAAACCUGCGGUUGUGCAUCAAUGGCCCCACCUGAAGUCUCUGGCAGAUAAACUCAUGCCCUAUGAUCCAACCCUGCAAAUAUCUCUUCUCAUCGGGAGCAAUUGUCCCAGAGUAGUUCGACCCAGGGAAAUCAUCGCCGGUGGAGAGGAUGACCCUUACGGCCAGAGGUCACUACUAGGCUGGGGAGUAAUUGGGAACGUGUGCAAGGCUGCACGACAAACCGAUGACCAACCUGCAGUAUGCAACAAAGUGGUUGCUGCUGAACCACAAAGCUACCAACACUUCGUCUAUGGUACGAGGGUGAAAGAAGUCUUAAACCCAGAGAAAGUUCUCAAGGUGUUGGAAUCCGACUUUGUCGAGAAUCAUCAGGGGAAGCCAUACUCAGUAGAAGACGAGAAGUUCCUGAGCGUGAUGGAAAAAGGAAUAAAGAAAGCAUCCGAUGGCCACUACGAAAUGCCACUACCACUGAAGUCUGACGCUGCGACCCUGCCUAACAACCGCCAACUUGCAGUCAAGAGAUGGAAUCAGCUGUCCGCCAGAUUCCGAAAGAAUGUGAAGUUUCGUGAAGACUACAGGGAGUUCAUGAAAGAUGUUAUCCCAAAGUCUGCAGAGAGAGUCCCCCUAGACCAACUGGAAGUUGAUGAGGGAAAGGUAAACUAUGUGCCGCACACCGGAGUCUAUCACCCCAAAAAGCCGGACAAGAUAAGAGUGGUGUUCGACUGUUCAGCCAAAUAUGGAGGCGUUUCACUCAACGACCAUCUCCUUCAAGGUCCUGACUUGACUAAUGGUCUUCUCGGUGUUCUGUGUAGAUUCAGGAAAGAGGAAGUGGCCUUUAUGGUUGACGUGAAGAGCAUGUUCCAUCAGUUCUAUGUAGAAGAGAAGUACCGUGACCUGCUGCGAUUCCUAUGGUGGGAAAAUGGUGAUCCAGAGAAGCCAGUGGUCGAAUACAGAAUGAAAGUUCACGUGUUUGGGGCCGCUAGCUCACCAGGCUGUGCCAACUUCGGGCUGAAGAGAGCAGCAGAUGACGGAGAGGAUGAGUUUGGUGCAGAGGCAGCAAACUUCAUUCGUAAUGAUUUCUACGUAGACGAUGGACUGAAGUCACUACCCACAGUGGAAAGAGCAUCAUUACUGAUCAAAGCCAGUCAGAAUCUGUGUGGAAAAGCUGGGUUGAAACUGCACAAAAUCAUCUCCAACAAAAGAGAGCUGUUGGAAAAAUUCCCAGCAGAAGAGCGAGCCAGUGGUACAAGGGAACUAGAUCUGAAGGUUGAUGUACUACCAAUGGAAAGAGCCCUGGGCGUCACUUGGUGUGUCGAGAGUGACACCUUUCAGUUCCAUAUUGAGUUGAAAGACAGACCAUUCACAAGACGAGGCAUACUUUCAACUGUAAGUUCGAUCUAUGACCCAAAUGGCUAUGUGGCUCCAGUAACCCUCAGAGGGAAGAGAAUUUUGCAGCAGAUGUGUCGCGACAAACUUGAUUGGGACAGUCCAGUGCCAGAGAUGCUACAACCUGAGUGGGAGAAAUGGCGUUUAGAGGUUCUCGGCUUAGAGAAGAUCCAAAUCCAGCGAUGUUUUAAGCCCAAGGAUUUUGGAACUGUGACAGCAGUUGAAUUGCAUCAUUUUUCCGAUGCAAGCCAAGAUGGUUAUGGUCAGUGUUCCUACCUGCGACUAGUCGAUGAGAACAAUAAGGCACAUUGUUCCUUUGUAGUCGGUAAGUCCAGAGUGGCCCCUCUGAAGCUCGUCACCAUCCCCCGGCUAGAACUUGCAGCAGCAACUGUCUCAGCAACUGUGAGUGAAUUCCUGCGACGAGAGCUAUGUUACGAGAUGCUCCACGAAUAUUACUGGACAGACAGCAAGAUUGUUUUGGGAUACAUAAACAAUGAAGCAAGACGAUUCCAUGUCUAUGUUGCUAACAGAGUGCAGCAAAUCAGAAGUCUGACUAACCCAGAGAGAUGGAUGUACGUAGACACCAAAGAAAAUCCUGCUGACGAAGCAUCACGUGGUCUGACAGCAAAGGAACUUAUAGAGAAGUCCUGCUGGUUAUCCGGUCCAGAUUUCUUGCAGAAGGAUGGCCCCUUUCAACCCCAGCCAGCCGUAGUUGCACCACUGAGUGAAUCAGACCCAGAUGUGAAAAGAGUCUCAGCUUUCGUGACAACAGCUGAGAACAACGCACGACAUCAUCACUUCGAAGUGAGCCGACUUGAUUGCUUUUCAUCCUGGAAUAGAGCUUGCAGGGCAGUCGCUCUUUGUCUGAGGUUGAAGACAAAGUUGAGGAACAGAGUAGUGAAGAAACCUUGUGAAAGGAAAGUUUGUUCCACUCCUGCGAAGCAAGCAAUCACUGUGGCAGAACUACAGAAUGGAGAGAUGGAAAUCAUCAAAAAUGUUCAGCAUGAACAUUUCAGUGUCGAGUUACAGGCCCUACAAGAACUUGGUGUAAUCGGGCAAGUCACCGAUGGAAAGACUGCAAGGGUGAGAAAUGACUACCUGAAGAAGACAAGUUGUCUGUACCGGCUAGAUCCCUUUCUAGAUGUCGAUGGCAUCAUCCGAGUGGGUGGCCGUAUUGCCAGAUCUAAUCUUCCAAUUGAAGCUAAGCAUCCAGCCGUUCUCCCUCACAAAGGUCAUGUCACCCAGUUGUUGAUUCGCCAUAUUCAUGAGAAGGUGAAUCACAUGGGCAGAGGAAUGACACACAACGAGCUACGUCAGAGAGGGUACUGGGUAAUUGGUGGUUCAUCAGCUGUGUCCAACUACAUCUCAAGAUGUGUGACCUGCCGCAAACUGCGUGGAUCGCUGCAGCGACAGAAGAUGUCUGACCUACCCGUAGAUCGACUAGAGCCAGCGCCCCCAUUUUCCUAUUGCGCUGUGGACUACUUCGGUCCAUUUUUGGUGAAAGAGCGUAGGAGUCAAGUGAAACGUUAUGGUGUCCUGUUCACAUGUAUGGCGUCUAGAGGUGUUCAUCUAGAGACAGCAAAUUCCUUAACGGCAAGUUCUUUCAUCAAUGCCCUUACAAGAUUCCAGAGCAGGAGAGGACCUGUACGUCAACUGCGUUCAGACCAAGGUACAACAUUCAUCGGUGCUCGGAGUGAGCUGAGAGAAGCGCUAGCUGAGAUGGAGCAGGACAGAGUCCACCAGUACCUGUUAGAGAGCAACUGUGACUGGAUUCCCUUCAAGCUGAACACACCGCAUGCCAGUCACAUGGGAGGCGUGUGGGAGAGACAGAUAGGUACAGUACGCCGUGCACUAGAGGGUCUUCUUCUUAAAACCACGACACAACUGGAUGAUGAAUGUUUCAGGACCUUCAUGACUGAGGUAGAAGGCAUCAUCAAUUCACGACCUCUAACGACAGACUAUCUCUGCUCAUCAGACGCACCAGAGCCAUUGACACCCAAUCAUCUGUUCACCAUGAAACCCAAGGUGGUUCUGCCUCCGCCUGGAAAGUUCCAGAAGGAAGAUGUCUAUGCCCGCAAAUGGUGGAGACGUGUCCAGUACUUGACCAAUGAGUUUUGGGUGAGAUGGAGAAAGGAGUUUCUGCACCAUCUUCAAGAGCGCAAAAAGUGGGUCAAUCCAGUAAGAGAUCUACAAGUAGGUGAUGUCGUGAUCUCCAAGGAAGGUGAACAGACCAGGAACCAGUGGCCACUGGGACGCGUAGUGGAGACCUACCCGAGCAAUGACGGAAGAGUCAGGUCAGUGAAGCUCUUGAUGGCCGAUGGCACACGAGACAACCUUGGCAGACGGCAACACUCUCCAUCACUCCUUGACAGACCAGUACACAAGCUUGUCCUGUUGGUACCCGCAGAGAAGCCUGAAGCUCAAGAGACCAGAGAAGUCCCCACCGAAGAGCCAAACUGAAGAUCCUGCCAGAAGAGACCCACUGCUGACGACAAUCUAUUUAGUUUAUGAACUUUACAUUUUAACUGUUCUUGUUACUCAUUAGUAGGUAGAUACCAAUUUAACGAGCCAACACUAGUCCGCAUCUGAGGAGCAGUGCGUGCGAGACAAGACGUCCACCAAGAUGAAGGAACAUUUUCAUGGACAUUAAUCUUUGAAGUUCAGGUUUGAUUUUAGUUUGUUAACUGCGAGAUGCAGUUAGAGGAGCCAUGUCACUGCAGCAGCUGUGCAGUGAGUUUGUCUUAAGUUUAUUAAUUUUCUGAACAAGUUUUUCAUAGUUUAAAUUUAGAAUUCCAUUUUUAGAGUAUUACUUCAUAUUUAGUGAAAGAGCCUACAGUUAAUGUUCACCUUAUAAUAGUGAAAGAGCCCACUUAUGUGUUACAUUAAGUAGCCUCCUUCCCACCACCAGAGUGACCUUGUGCACUUCCUAUGUGCAUACAGAGACCUUGUGUGGGUACAAGUACCACAUAAUCUUGCCACAUAAACAAUGGGCAGCCAUAUUUACUGACCAUGUGAUUUCAGAGACAAGUGUUUUCAUACUCAUUGCGAUUUAGUUCUUCAAGUUUCAUCACUUUAUUCACUCUUUGUGGACCUUGAAAGACCCCAUUUUGAUUGUUAUCUCAAUCUACUCAAUCUACUAUCAGCAAUCAC